UUGGAGGGCAAGUCUGGUGCCAGCAGCCGCGGUAAUUCCAGCUCCAAUAGCGUAUAUUAAAGUUGUUGCAGUUAAAAAGCUCGUAGUUGAAUUUCGGGGUCAGUAGGCUGGUCGUGCCACAGGUAUGUACUGGUCUCACUGAUUCCUCCUUCCUGAUGAACCGUAAUGCCAUUAAUUUGGUGUUGCGGGGAAUCUGGACUGUUACUUUGAAAAAAUUAGAGUGUUUAAAGCAGGCUAACGCUUGAAUACAUUAGCAUGGAAUAAUGAAAUAGGACGAUCGAUCCUAUCUUGUUGGUUUCUAGGAUUGACGUAAUGAUUAAUAGGGAUAGUUGGGGGCAUUAGUAUUCAAUUGUCAGAGGUGAAAUUCUUGGAUUUAUUGAAGACUAACUACUGCGAAAGCAUUUGCCAAGGAUGUUUUCAUUAAUCAAGAACGAAAGUUUGGGGAUCGAAGACGAUCAGAUACCGUCGUAGUCUUAACCAUAAACUAUGCCGACUAGGGAUCGGAUGAUGUUAAUUUUUUAAUGACUCAUUCGGCGCCUUACGGGAAA
rnacentral:rRNA from 1 species